CCGAGCACGCGCGUGUGGCAUAUCAAUAAGCGGAGGAAAAGAAACUAACAAGGAUUCCCUUAGUAACGGCGAGUGAAGCGGGAAGAGCUCAAAUUUGAAAUCUUCAAGGUUCUACCUUGACGAAUUGUAGUUUAUAGAAGUGUUUUCUGUUAGUAGAGUGGCAAAAGUUCUUUGGAAUAGGACAUCAUAGAGGGUGAGAAUCCCGUAUUUGGUCAUUCUUUCUAGCUUUGUGAUACACUUUCAACGAGUCGGAUUGUUUGGGAAUGCAGUCCUAAAUGGGUGGUAAAUUUCAUCUAAAGCUAAAUAUUGGCGAGAGACCGAUAGCGAACAAGUACCGUGAGGGAAAGAUGAAAAGAACUUUGAAAAGAGAGUUAAACAGUACGUGAAAUUGUCAAAAGGGAAGCGUUUAACACCAGUGUUGUUUUUCCGAAAAUCAAUUACGAAUGUUUUAUUUUUGAGAAGUUAUGACUUCAUCGGCUUGCUUCUCUCUUUAUGAAACUUUCUUAAUGCACUUUUCGGUUAACAAGUCAACAUCAAUUUCUUUUGUUGUAAAAGGGUAUGAGGAAGGUGGCUUUCUUUUCGGAGAAAGUGUUUAUAGCCUUGUACCUCUGCAAUCGGAGAGAUUGAGGUCUGCAGCGUAGAUCCUUCGGGGUUAGAUACAUUUGUGCUAAGUUAUAGCUUUUCAUAGACAACUUGUUGACUAUGUUUAGUCUUGUAGCUUACUCGCUUAUGCUAUUUUACCUACGCUUAGGAUGUUGAUGUGAUACUGCGAGCA
rnacentral:rRNA from 1 species